GUUUCUGUAGCUUAUAAAAGCAUAGCACUGAAGAUGCUAAGAUGGCUGCCACACACACCCAGAAACA
rnacentral:tRNA from 1 species